rnacentral:misc_RNA from 1 species
UCCGAGUUGACCCCGGCAGUCUCCCUAGAGUUCCCACCCGAAGUGUUGGCAACUAGGGACGAGGGUUGCGCUCGUUGCGGGACUUAACCCAACAUCUCACGACACGAGCUGACGACAGCCAUGCAGCACCUGUGUUCCGGCUCCCGAAGGCACCCCCGCAUCUCUGCAGGGUUCCGGACAUGUCAAGGGCAGGUAAGGUUCUUCGCGUUGCAUCGAAUUAAACCACAUGCUCCGCCGCUUGUGCGGGCCCCCGUCAAUUCCUUUGAGUUUCAGUCUUGCGACCGUACUCCCCAGGCGGCGAACUUAACGCGUUAGCUUCGAUACUGCGUGCCAAAUUGCACCCAACAUCCAGUUCGCAUCGUUUAGGGCGUGGACUAC